GGGAAUCCCGUGGCAAGCGAGGUAGGAGUCGCGUUGGCAAAUCCGCGUGACAAUCCGAAGACGUGAUGCAUACCGAACUAAAGUAGGGAAAUGUGUGAGCCAGCUGCCAAGAAAAGCCGCUAUUGUUUGUACUGUACCCGUACCGUAAACCGACACAGGUAGGUGAGGAGAGAAUCCUAAGGCCGACGGGAGAAGCAUUGUUAAGGAACUCGGCAAAAGACUCCGUAACUUCGGGAGAAGGAGUGCCAGUGAGAGCUGGCCGCAGAGAAUUGGCCCAAGCAACUGUUUAGCAAAAACACAGGUCUAUGCAAAACCGUAAGGUGAAGUAUAUGGGCUGACGCCUGCCCGGUGCUGGAAGGUUAAGGGGAGAGGUUAGCGCAAGCGAAGCUUUGAACUUAAGCCCCAGUAAACGGCGGCCGUAACAAUAACGGUCCUAAGGUAGCGAAAUUCCUUGUCGGGUAAGUUCCGACCCGCACGAAAGGCGUAAUGAUUUGGGCACUGUCUCAACAAUGCACCCGGUGAAAUUGAAAUACCAGUGAAGAUGCUGGUUACCUGCGCCAGGACGGAAAGACCCCAUGGAGCUUUACUCCAGCUUGAUACUGGGAUUCGAUAUUGUAUGUACAGGAUAGGUGGGAGGCGAAGAAGCAUUGACGCCAGUUGAUGCGGAGCCGCUGUAGGGAUACCACCCUUGCAGUAUUGGAUUUCUAACCAGCAGCCGUGACCCGGCUGGGGGACAAUGUCAGGUGGGGAGUUUGACUGGGGCGGUCGCCUCCGAAAGGGUAUCGGAGGCGCUCAAAGGUUCCCUCAGAAUGGUUGGAAACCAUUCGAAGAGUGCAAAGGCAGAAGGGAGCUUGACUGCGACACCGACGGGUGGAGCAGGUACGAAAGUAGGACUUAGUGAUCCGGUGGUAUAAAGUGGGAUUGCCAUCGAUCAACGGAUAAAAGCUACCCUGGGAUAACAGGCUUAUCACUCCCAAGAGUUCACAUCGACGGAGUGGUUUGGCACCUCGAUGUCGGCUCAUCGCAUCCUGGGGCUGAAGUAGGUCCCAAGGGUUGGGCUGUUCGCCCAUUAAAGCGGUACGCGAGCUGGGUUCAGAACGUCGUGAGACAGUUCGGUCCCUAUCCGGCGUGGGCGUAGGAUAUUUGAGAGGAGCUGGCCUUAGUACGAGAGGACCGGGUUGGACUGACCGCUGGUGUAUCUGUUGUUCCGCCAGGAGCAUGGCAGAGUAGCCAAGUCAGGAAGGGAUAAACGCUGAAGGCAUCUAAGUGUGAAGCCCCCCUCAAGAUGAGAUAUCCCAACGUAGAGUUGUAAGACCCCUUGAAGACGACAAGGUAGGUAGGGCAGAGGUGGAAGUGCAGUAAUGCAUGGAGCUGACUGUAACUAAUCGGUCGAGGGCAUAACAAC
rnacentral:rRNA from 1 species